UACGUAGGGUGCGAGCGUUAAUCGGAAUUACUGGGCGUAAAGCGUGCGCAGGCGGUUUCUUAAGCAAGAUGUGAAAUCCCCGGGCUUAACCUGGGAACUGCAUUUUGAACUGGGAGACUAGAGUGUGUCAGAGGGGGGUGGAAUUCCACGUGUAGCAGUGAAAUGCGUAGAGAUGUGGAGGAACACCGAUGGCGAAGGCAGCCCCCUGGGAUAACACUGACGCUCAUGCACGAAAGCGUGGGGAGCAAACAGG
rnacentral:rRNA from 1 species